UACGUAGGGUGCAAGCGUUUAAUCGGAAUUACUGGGCGUAAAGCGUGCGCAGGCGGUUUUGUAAGUCUGUCGUGAAAUCCCCGGGCUUAACCUGGGAAUGGCGAUGGAGACUGCAAGGCUAGAGUUUGGCAGAGGGGGGGUAGAAUUCCACGUGUAGCAGUGAAAUGCGUAGAGAUGUGGAGGAACACCGAUGGCGAAGGCAGCCCCCUGGGUCAAAAACUGACGCUCAUGCACGAAAGCGUGGGGAGCAAACAGG
rnacentral:rRNA from 1 species